rnacentral:rRNA from 1 species
UACGUAGGGACCAAGCGUUGUUCGGAUUUACUGGGCGUAAAGGGCGCGUAGGCGGCAAUUCAAGUCAGUUGUGAAAUCUCCGAGCUUAACUCGGAACGGUCAACUGAUACUGCUUUGCUAGAGUACAGAAGGGGCAAUCGGAAUUCUUGGUGUAGCGGUGAAAUGCGUAGAUAUCAAGAGGAACACCGGUGGCGAAGGCGGUUCUCUGGGAAUGUCCUGACGCUGAGGAGCGAAAGUGUGGGGAGCGAACAGG